CCUACGGGAGGCAGCAGUGGGGAAUAUUGCACAAUGGGGGAAACCCUGAUGCAGCGACGCCGCGUGAGUGAAGAAGGAUCUCGGUACGUAAAGUUCUAUCAGCAGGGAAGAUAAUGACGGUACCUGACCAAUAAGCCCCGGCUAACUACGUGCCAGCAGCCGCGGUAAUACGUAGGGGGCAAGCGUUAUCCGGAUUUACUGGGUGUAAAGGGAGCGUAGACGGUGCGCUAAGUCUGGAGUGAAAUCCUGCAGCUUAACUGCGGAACUGCUUUUGAAACUGUCGAACUAGAGUGCGGGAGAGGUAAGUGGAAUUCCUGGUGUAGGGGUGAAAUGCGUAGAUAUUAGGAGGAACACUGGUGGCGAAGGCGACUUGCUGGAACGUAACUGACGUUGAGGCGCGAAAGCGUGGGGAGCAAACAGGAUUAGAUACCCUUGUAGUC
rnacentral:rRNA from 1 species